rnacentral:rRNA from 1 species
GACGAACGCUGGCGGCGUGCUUAACACAUGCAAGUCGAACGGUAAGGCCCUUCGGGGUACACGAGUGGCGAACGGGUGAGUAACACGUGGGUGAUCUGCCCUGCACUUCGGGAUAAGCCUGGGAAACUGGGUCUAAUACCGGAUAGGACCACUGCAUGCAUGGGUGGGGGCGGCAAGCUUUUGCGGUGUGGGAUGGGCCCGCGGCCUAUCAGCUUGUUGGUGGGGUGAUGGGCUACCAAGGCGACGACGGGUAGCCGGCCUGGUAGGGUGACCGGCCACACUGGGACUGAGAUACGGCCCAGACUCCUACGGGAGGCAGCAGUGGGGAAUAUUGCACAAUGGGCGCAAGCCUGAUGCAGCGACGCCGCGUGAGGGAUGACGGCCUUCGGGUUGUAAACCUCUUUCAGCACCGACGAAGCGCAAGUGACGGUAGGUGCAGAAGAAGGACCGGCCAACUACGUGCCAGCAGCCGCCGUAA